AGAGUACUGGAAGCACAACAAAUGGCUGCAAAACAAGCAUUUUGUGCGCUGUCAAGUGGCAUUGUUGCCAAUGUUUGGAAUUUAUUAAAUUUUCAUGUUUUCCGGCGGGCUUUAUGCUAGAGAAUACAUGAUGGCUUGCUGGUUAGUAAGUUAAAAUGAAGAGUCAAGUUCGCUGCUGCCUCCAGCAUUGUAGAACUUCUUAAUUCAUAGCAUCUGAUGCAUCUUAGAUUUUCAAGCAUAGGAGCUUGAUAUAUCAAGUUAUUUUUAUCAAUAUUUUAAGUUGUUCAAGCCAUUCUUUCCAACUCUCUACAUCCUGUACUCAAGUUUCUUCACUCAUUUUUCCUAGAACACAAACUAGAUAGCUUUCAAUGGACAAAGUACUUAUCCAUUAAAUUGAAACUACAGACGGAUGGAUAUUGAAAUCAAAAGAUAGACAUGCUAGCAAAAGUUAGAUAACAUGUCCUGAUUAUUAAAAGCAACAGUUUUUCCAUUUACCUUUUGUUUUCAUCCUUAAUGAUUGAUGAUAUAAUGAAACUUUUAGGUGCAUUGUACCUUACUGCAAUUGCAUGGUGGUGAUCAAUUUUGAGUCUACCUGUUUCCUGAAUUUACUCCAAAAAGCUGAAAGCUGAAAUGCUGGACAUUGAUAAAAUUAAUUGAACCUUGGAAAAUGCCAAAGGUAAUUGAUUUAGUAUUUUUCUUUUCUCUUUUUAAAGGUAUGUACACUUGAACCACUUGGAACCCUUCAGCUUUUGUUAUAACUCAGUUUCAUUUGAACAAGUUGUACACCUACAAGGUAUAGCCAAGGGACCAUAUCAGUCGGGAAUAUACACCAUAUGCUUGGUCUAGCUGCUGCUGUAAAACUGAACUGGUCUAAAUAAUCUGCCUUUAUGAUAAAUCUCCUGCCAGUUUUGCCGACAACUGCUAGAUGAAUAGGAGGGACAUUCAUAGGCAGUUUUUUCUUCCCACCUCCAAGUUUGUUUCACG
rnacentral:lncRNA from 1 species